rnacentral:rRNA from 1 species
GACAGAGGGGGCAAGCGUUGCUCGAAAUUACUGGGCGUAAAGGGCGCGUAGGCGGGAUGGCAAGUCGGUCGUGAAAUCCCUCGGCUCAACCGAGGAACGUCGAUCGAUACUGCUGUUCUUGAGGAUUGCAGAGGAGACUGGAAUUCCCGGUGUAGCGGUGAAAUGUGUAGAGAUCGGGAGGAACACCGGUGGCGAAGGCGGGUCUCUGGGCAAUUCCUGACGCUGAGGCGCGAAAGCGUGGGGAGCAAACGGG